rnacentral:rRNA from 1 species
ACAGUCACACAUUAGAUACCCCUGUAGUCCUGGCCGUAAACGAUGUGGACUUGGUGUUGGAAUGGCUCCGAGCUGCUCCAGUGCCGAAGGGAGGCUGUUAAGUCCACCGCCUGGGAAGUACGGUCGCAAGGCUGAAACUUAAAGGAAUUGGCGGGGAGCACCACAACAGGUGGAGCCUGCGGUUUAAUUGGAUUCAACGCCGGACAUCUCACCGGAUAAGACAGCUGAAUGAUUGUCAAUCUGAAGGUUUUACAUGACUAGCUG